UACGUAGGGGGCUAGCGUUGUCCGGAUUUAUUGGGCGUAAAGAGCGUGUAGGCGGCCAGGUAGGUCUGGUGUGAAAACUCGAGGCUUAACCUCGAGAUGUCAUCGGAAACCAUUUGGCUAGAGUCCGGAAGAGGAGAGUGGAAUUCCCUGGUGUAGCGGUGAAAUGCGCAGAUAUCAGGAAGAACACCAAUGGCGAAAGCAGCUCUCUGGGACGGUACUGACGCUGAGACGCGAAAGCGUGGGGAGCAAACAGG
rnacentral:rRNA from 1 species